rnacentral:piRNA from 1 species
UGAAAUUCACCAUGGUGGGUAA